rnacentral:misc_RNA from 1 species
AACAAGAAAUCCGGAGAGCUGUU